rnacentral:rRNA from 1 species
CAGUCGCCGCGGUAAUACGUAGGGUGCAAGCGUUGUCCGGAAUUAUUGGGCGUAAAGAGCUCGUAGGCGGUUUGUCGCGUCUGCUGUGAAACCCCGAGGCUCAACCUCGGGCUUGCAGUGGGUACGGGCAGACUAGAGUGCGGUAGGGGAGAUUGGAAUUCCUGGUGUAGCGGUGGAAUGCGCAGAUAUCAGGAGGAACACCGAUGGCGAAGGCAGAUCUCUGGGCCGUAACUGACGCUGAGGAGCGAAAGCGUGGGGAGCGAACAGGAUUAGAUACCCCAGUAGUCCCUGUCUCUUAUAA